GUGAAGUUUGCAGGAAAGAGGUAUAAGCCCACCGAAGGAGUAAAACUCUCAGGUAUCCGUAUUGUCGGACAGAA
rnacentral:ncRNA from 2 species